CACCUGUCCUGAGAUGCGUAUCUCAGCUGAUGAGUCCAAAAGGACGAAACAAUUG
rnacentral:hammerhead_ribozyme from 1 species